rnacentral:rRNA from 1 species
GAGUUUGAUCCUGGCUCAGGAUGAACGCUGGCGGCGUGCCUAAUACAUGCAAGUUGAACGAUGGAAGCACUUCGGUGCAGAAGUAGUAGCGAACGGGUGAGUAACACGUAGGUAACCUGCCCUUUAGAGGGGGAUAACUGGGGGAAACCUCAGCUAAGACCGCAUAAAGAGGACCAGGCAUCUGGUCAAGAUGAAAUGCCCUGCAAGGGGCAGCUAAAGGAUGGGCCUGCGGCGCAUUAGCUAGUUGGUGAGGUAAGGGCUUACCAAGGUAAUGAUGCGUAGCCGACCUGAGAGGGUGAACGGCCACACUGGAACUGAGACACGGUCCAGACUCCUACGGGAGGCAGCAGUAGGGAAUUUUCGGCAAUGGGGGGAACCCUGACCGAGCAACGCCGCGUGAAUGAAGAAGGUCUUCGGAUUGUAAAAUUUUGUUGUAUGGGAAGAAAGAGCUUUAUAGGAAAUGAUAAAGAAGUGACGGUACCAUACGAGGAAGCCACGGCUAACUACGUGCCAGCAGCCGCGGUAAUACGUAGGUGGCAAGCGUUAUCCGGAAUUAUUGGGCGUAAAGGGUGAGUAGGCGGCUUAGAAAGUCCGCAGUUAAAGACGGUGGCUCAACCACCGGAUGCUGUAGAAACUGAUAGGCUAGA